UACGAAGGGGGCUAGCGUUGCUCGGAAUUACUGGGCGUAAAGCGCACGUAGGCGGCUUUCUAAGUCGGGGGUGAAAUCCUGGAGCUCAACUCCAGAACUGCCUUCGAUACUGGAGAGCUCGAGUCCGGGAGAGGUGAGUGGAACUGCGAGUGUAGAGGUGAAAUUCGUAGAUAUUCGCAAGAACACCAGUGGCGAAGGCGGCUCACUGGGUCAAGAUUGACGCUCAUGCACGAAAGCGUGGGGAGCAAACAGG
rnacentral:rRNA from 1 species